rnacentral:misc_RNA from 1 species
AACGCACCUUGCGCCCCUUGGCAUUCCGAGGGGCACACCCGUUUGAGUGUCGUGAAACCCUCAAAAUCAUUUUUUCUUUUUGAAAAAGGAUUUUGGACUUGGAGGUUCAAUGCUCGCUCUCUCUUUCGAAAGCGAGCUCCUCUCAAAUGAAUCAGUGGGGUUUGCUUUGCUGAUCCUUGACGUGAUAAGAUGUUUCUACGUUUUGGAUUUGGCACUGUCCCUUGCUUCUAACAGUCCCUUGGACGACGAUGGUGCUUCGGUCGCCGCCACCUACGCUGGCGGGAGGCUGGACCCACAAAAACCUUGACCUCAAAUCGGGUGAGACUACCCGCUGAACUUAA